rnacentral:rRNA from 1 species
AUACGUAGGGGCCGAGCGUUGUCCGGAAUUACUGGGCGUAAAGCGUGUGUAGGCGGUUACAUAAGUCGAGUGUGAAAUUCCCUGGCUCAACCAGGGAACUGCGCUCGAUACUGUGUGACUUGAGUACGGGAGAGGAAAGUGGAAUGUAAGGUGUAGCGGUGAAAUGCGUAGAUAUCUUAUAGAACACCUGUGGCGAAGGCGGCUUUCUGGCCCGAUACUGACGCUGAGACACGAAAGUCUGGGGAGCGAACGGGAUUAGAAACCCCGGUAGUCC